rnacentral:rRNA from 1 species
GACGAACGCUGGCGGCGUGCUUAACACAUGCAAGUCGAACGAAGUGGCGAACGGGUGAGUAACGCGUAAUCAACCUGCUCUUCAGCGGGGUACAACAGUUGGAAACGACUGCUUAUACCGCAUACUGAACGCGGGGAUUGCGUCUGAUUAGCUGGUUGGAGGGGUAACGGCCACCCAUGGCGAUGCUCAGUAGCCGGACUGAGUGGAGGAGAGACCACAUUGGGACUGAGACAAGGCCCAGACUCCUACGGGAGGCAGCAGUGGAGAAUCUACCGCAAUGGACGAAAGUCUGACGGAGCAACGCCGCGUGAGUGAUGACGGCCUUCGGGUUGUAAAGCUCUGUUAAUCGGGACGCGGUACCGGAAUAGAAAGCCACGGCUAACUACGUGCCAGCAGCCGCGGUAAUUC